CCUACGGGAGGCAGCAGUGAGGAAUAUUGGUCAAUGGACGAGAGUCUGAACCAGCCAAGUAGCGUGAAGGAUGACUGCUCUAUGGGUUGUAAACUUCUUUUAUAUGGGAAUAAAACGUUCCACGUGUGGGAUUUUGUAUGUACCAUAUCAAUAAGGAUCGGCUAACUCCGUGCCAGCAGCCGCGGUAAUACGGAGGAUCCGAGCGUUAUCCGGAUUUAUUGGGUUUAAAGGGAGCGUAGGUGGAUUGUUAAGUCAGUUGUGAAAGUUUGCGGCUCAACCGUAAAAUUGCAGUUGAAACUGGCAGUCUUGAGUACAGUAGAGGUGGGCGGAAUUCGUGGUGUAGCGGUGAAAUGCUUAGAUAUCACGAAGAACUCCGAUUGCGAAGGCAGUUCACUGGACUGCAACUGACACUGAGGCUCGAAAGUGUGGGUAUCAAACAGGAUUAGAUACCCCAGUAGUC
rnacentral:rRNA from 1 species